GAUGAACGCUGGCGGCGUGCCUAACACAUGCAAGUCGAGCGAUCUCCUUCGGAAGAGAGCGGCGGACGGGUGAGUAACGCGUGGGUAACCUGCCCUGUACACACGGAUAACAUACCGAAAGGUAUGCUAAUACGGGAUAACAUAAGAAAUUCGCAUGUUUUUCUUAUCAAAGCUCCGGCGGUACAAGAUGGACCCGCGUCUGAUUAGCUAGUUGGUGAGGUAACGGCUCACCAAGGCCACGAUCAGUAGCCGACCUGAGAGGGUGAUCGGCCACAUUGGAACUGAGACACGGUCCAAACUCCUACGGGAGGCAGCAGUGGGGAAUAUUGCACAAUGGGCGAAAGCCUGAUGCAGCAACGCCGCGUGAGCGAUGAAGGCCUUCGGGUCGUAAAGCUCUGUCCUCAAGGAAGAUAAUGACGGUACUUGAGGAGGAAGCCCCGGCUAACUACGUGCCAGCCGCCGCGGUAAUAC
rnacentral:rRNA from 1 species